rnacentral:tRNA from 1 species
CAAAAUAUAGUUUAAUAAAAAUUUUAAUUUUGGGAAUUAAUGAUACUAUUUUUAGUUAUUUUGA